UAUCAUCAUCAAUAUCAUCAUUCACAUUGACGCCAUCAACAUCAACAACAUUACCAUCAACAUCACAAAUAUUGACGCCAUCAUCACCAUCGUCAACAUCACCAACAUCGCUUGCUACGAGAACGACGAUCAUCUCCACCACUCCCAUCUCCGCCAUCACGAACAACGUUGUGGAUUACGUGACGUGGAGUUUACAACACAAGCAGACAUGAGAUGAUCACGUGACACGAAGAUGACCAAUCGGCAGGUGCCAGCUGCGGCAUGCGUGCUGACAACGUUCCUGUGACCUCCUCUGACCUGCGAGCACCUCCUCUGACGCUUUGGAGACAACGAUGAUGACGACGGAGAUGCCGCUUGGUGACGAUGCGACUCCACCGCUGACUCCACCCGUGGACAUCAAGGUCACGGCCACUGAGGAGGAGGAGAAGGAGGUGGAGGAGGACAUGGAGGUGGUGGUAGAGGAGGAGGAUGAUGAGGAGGAAGAGG